rnacentral:rRNA from 1 species
GUUUCCGGUUGAUCCUGCCGGACCCGACUGCUAUCAGAGUGGGACUAAGCCAUGCGAGUCAACAUAGCAAUAUGUGGCAUACGGCUCAGUAACACGUAGUCAACAUGCCCAGGGGACGUGGAUAACCUCGGGAAACUGAGGAUAAACCGCGAUAAGUCACUACUUCUGGAAUGGGUAAUGACUCAAAUCUAUAUGGCCCCUGGAUUGGACUGCGGCCGAUCAGGCUGUUGGUGAGGUAAUGGCCCACCAAACCUGUAACCGGUACGGGCUCUGAGAGGAGGAGCCCGGAGAUGGGCACUGAGACAAGGGCCCAGGCCCUAUGGGGCGCAGCAGGCGCGAAACCUCUGCAAUAGGCGAAAGCUUGACAGGGUUACUCUGAGUGAUUUCCGUUAAGGAAAUCUUUUGGCACCUCUAAAAA